rnacentral:rRNA from 1 species
CCUACGGGUGGCAGCAGUGAGGAAUAUUGGUCAAUGGCCGCGGUCCUGAACCAGCCAAGCCGCGUGAGGGAAGACGGCCCUAUGGAUUGUAAACCUCUUUUGUCAGGGAACAAACCCCGCGACGUGUCCCGCUCUGCGUGUAUCCGAAGAAAAAGCAUCGGCUAACUCCGUGCCAGCAGCCGCGGUAAUACGGAGGAUGCGAGCGUUAUCCGGAUUUAUUGGGUUUAAAGGGUGCGUAGGCGGUCUGUUAAGUCAGCGGUAAAAUUGCGGGGCUCAACCCCGUCGAGCCGUUGAAACUGGCGGACUUGAGUGGGCGAGAAGUAUGCGGAAUGCGUGGUGUAGCGGUGAAAUGCAUAGAUAUCGCGCAGAACUCCGAUUGCGAAGGCAGCGUACCGGCGCCAGACUGACGCUGAGGCACGAAAGCGUGGGGAUCGAACAGGAUUAGAUACCCUUGUAGUC